UCAAGCGAAUAAGAGCUUACGACGGAUACCUUGGUGUUCAGAAGCGAUGAAGGGCGUGGCUACCAACGAAAUGUCUCGGGGAACUGGAAGCAAGUUUUGAUCCGAGAAUACCCGAAUGAGGAAACUUCAUGAACUACUUCUUGAAUCUAUAAAGAAGAAAGAGCAAACCCAGUGAAUUGAAACAUCUUAGUAACUGGAGGAAAAGAAAGCAAAAGCGAUUCCCUUAGUAGCGGCGAGCGAAAUGGGACUAGUCUAAACUCUGUAUAAAUAGAGGGUUGUGGGACAAUGUUAUAAAAAAGUGCGAGUGUUAGAUGAAACUGGUGGAAUACAGUAUCAAAGAAGGUGAAAAUCCUGUAAUCGAAAACAUAAACAUUUUAAAAUUGUAUCCCAAGUAGGAAGGGACACGUGAAACCCCUUUUGAAUUUGCGAGGACCACCUCGUAAGACUAAAUAUUCCUGAAUAACCGAUAGUGAACCAGUACCGUGAGGGAAAGGUGAAAAGAACCCCGGGAGGGGAGUGAAAUAGAACAUGAAAUCGUAAGUUUACAAGCAGUGGAAGAGCGACUUAACGCUCGACUUCGUGCCUGUUGAAGAAUGAGCUGGCGACUUGUAGGUUAUGGCAAGGUUAAAAUAAGAGAAUAUUGGAGCCAUAGUGAAAGCGAGCUUGAUAAGAGCUUUAAGUCAUAAUUUACAGACCCGAACCCGGAUGAUCUAACCAUGGCCAGUGUGAAGCUUAGGUAACACUAAGUGGAGGUACGAACCGACUGUUGUUGAAAAAACAGCGGAUGAGUUGUGGUUAGGGGUGAAAUUCCAAUCGAAUCCGGAGCUAGCUGGAUCUCCCCGAAAUGCGUUGAGGCGCAGCGGUUAAUGUUUCUUCUUAGGGGUAAAGCUACUGUUUUGGUGCGGGCUACGAGAGUGGUACCAAGUCAAGGCAAACUCUGAAUACUAAGACGUUUAAUUAACCAGUGAGACAUUGGGGGAUAAGCUUCAAUGUCAAAAGGGAAACAGCCCAGAUUACUAGCUAAGGCCCCUAAAUAAUUACUAAGUGGUAAAGGAGGUGGGACUGCAUAGACAAUCAGGAGGUUUGCCCAGAAGCAGCAAUCCUUUAAAGAGUGCGUAAUAGCUCACUGUUCGAGUGGUCCUGCGCCGAAAAUGACUGGGACUAAGUAAUUUGCCGAAGCUGUAAGAUGUUUAAACAUCGGUAGGGGAGCGUUCUACAUUAGUUUGAAGCGUUAGCGGAAGCGGGCGUGGACAAGGUAGAAGUGAGAAUGUUAGCUUGAGUAGCGAAAACAUUGGUGAGAAUCCAAUGCCCCGAAAACCUAAGGGUUCCUCCGGAAGGCUCGUCCGCGGAGGGUGAGUCAGGUCCUAAGGUGAGGCUGAAAAGCGUAAUCGAUGGAUAACAGGUUAAUAUUCCUGUACUGUUUAUUGUUGGUAAAGGGGGACGGAGAAGGCUAGGUCGACCGAAUGUUGGUUAUCGGCUUAAAUAUUCGAGGUUAUGAGGACUGGUGAAAACAGUCUGAGCUGAGAUAUGAAUAGGAAAGUGUCAAGACACUGAACCGGCUGAUGUCAUACUUCCAAGAAAAGCCCUAACUACCACAAACAAUAAAUACCUGUACCCUAAACCGACACAGGUGGGUAAGUAGAGAAUACUAAGGGGCGCGAGAUAACUCUCUCUAAGGAACUCGGCAAAAUGGCCUCGUAACUUCGGGAGAAGAGGUACCCUUUAUUGGGUUGCAAGAACCAGACGCUGGCGACUGUUUACCAAAAACACAGGUCUCCGCAAAGUCGUAAGACGAUAUAUGGGGGCUGACACCUGCCCAGUGCCGGAAGGUUAAGGAAGCUUGUUAGUCUUUGACGAAGCUCGCGACUGAAGCCCCGGUGAACGGCGGCCGUAACUAUAACGGUCCUAAGGUAGCGAAAUUCCUUGUCGGGUAAG
rnacentral:rRNA from 1 species